AUAACAAUACGGAUUUUUUGGGUCCUUGUAAUUGGAAGAGUUAAAUUUAAAUCCCUUUAACAAGGACAAAUGGAAGGGCAAGUCUGGUGCCAGCAGCCGCGGUAAUUCCAGCUCCAAUAGCGUAUAUUAAAGUUGUUGCAGUUAAAAAGCUCGUAGUUGGAUUCGG
rnacentral:rRNA from 1 species